UUCACGCCAUUCUCCUGCCUCAGCCUCCCACGUAGCUGGGACUACAGGCACCCGCCACCACGCUCAGCUAAUUUUUUGUAUUUUUAGUAGAGUUAUUUCUAAUUUAACUAUUGAUAUGUUUGGAUUUAAGUGCCACUUUGCUAUUUCUUUUCUAUUUUCUCAUUUUCCUUCCUAUAUUAUUCCUUUUAUUACUUUGCUUGUGGCCAUCAAAUGUUUUAAGCAUAUCAUUCAAUUCCAUUUUCAGGUAAAAUUUCUUUGCAGUAUUUUCUAGUGGUUCUGCUAUAGAUUAUAUCACGUCAUCACAACCACCUUAAAGUUAAUUAAUAUUAAACGAUUUCUGAACAAAGCAGGAUACUUUCAAGGGGCUAUGUUCUAUUCUACCAACUAUCCUUUGGGCUACACACUGUUGUACAGAGAUAUAUUAAACCUCUGUCCAUUUUAAACCCUACAAUACAGUGUUAUAAUUUUUGUUUUAAAUAGCCAUGUGUAUUCUAUAGAAAUUAUAAGAUUAUGUAUACGUGUAUCUAUCUUUAUAUCAUACUCGAGCAUUUUUUGCAGUAAAAUCCUAUUAAUAAUAAUUUUUUCUCACUUUUAUUUUAUUUUGUCUUUAUUUCACCUUCAUCUUUGAAGAAUAGUUUUUCUAGAUAUAGAAUCUUUGGAUGAUGGAUAUUUCCUUCCUCCACACUUUCACGUCUCCUCAACAUCUCUGGCCUCCACUGUUUUGGAUGAAAAGUCAGCCAUUAAUCAUAUCAUUGUUCCUCUCUAUGGAAUGGGCCACUUUUCUCUUGCUGCUUUCAAGAAUUUCUCCUCUCCUCACUUUGUCUUUCAGAGAUUUGACUAUCAUAUUAUCUAGUUGUGGUUUCUUAUGGUUAUCGUAUUUUGGUUUGUCGAUCUGAAGAGUUCUGUAAAUAUUCUCGCCGGUUUGGGAAAUGUUGGCCUUAUUUCCUCAUUUUUAAAAAAUUGUCUAUUUUAUUUUCUCUUUUCUCUUUCUGGGGCUUUGAUUUCACCCAUAUUGGACUCCCUGAUGUUGUUCCAAAGGUCGCCGAAGCUUUUACAUUUUUUCUCAAUCAGUUUCCAUCUGUUCUUCAGAUUGGACAAUUUCUAUGGAUCUAUCUUCAGGUUCACUGAUUCUUUCUUCUGCUGUCUCUGAUCUGCUAGAUGAAUCCAUCUGGUACAUUUUUCAGUUUAUAUUCUGAUACUGUAUUUUUCACCUCUAGAACUUCAACUUUUAAAAACUAGUUUUCAUUUCUCUGUUGAAAUGUUCUACCUAUUAACUCAUUAAUACCACACGUUUCUUUAAUGAUUUAUACAUAUUUAUAUUAGCUCCUUUGACGUCUUUGCAAAAUCCAGCAUAAAAGCUGUCUCACAGUUGGUUUCCAUGCCUGAUUUUUUUCUUCUGAGUACAGAUCACAUUUGACUAUUUCUCUGCAUGUCUAGUACACGUUGGAGGGAGGCUUGCCAAUGGAAGUAAUGUUUCGUAGAUGCUCUGAAAUGUCUUUUAUUCUUCUAAGCGUUGUUUCUUUGUUACCAUAGGCAGCGAAUCCUCCUGCUUUCAAAGCUGUCUUCCCUAAAAAAUGCAGCAGGUGGCCUCGCUUUGGCUUCCUUGUUGCUGUUUUGUGAGAGAGAGGGAGGGUGUGACUGUGUUUAUUUUUCAUCUUGGUCCUACCUAUUAAUCCUACAGCUGUGUGGUUUAGUGAUCAUGGUUUAGUGAUCAGCUAUGUAUCCGGGCAGUGUACAGAUUUGGGGGCUCACCCCCUCUCUAGGUGUCUUGCUGCUGAAACUACCCCUUAAUUCUUAGUUGCUCUGGCAUCCCCAGUUUCUUCCUUCUUUAAGGCAGAACAACUUCCUCUCAGUCACAGGGACCAUGUAGGCUGGGGAGUGAACUCUGCCAAGGGCACAGAAUUCUUCUGAAUAUCAUCAGAAGCCUUUUCUGUCUAAUUUCCGCCUCAUUCCUCCAGGUCCUCCAAGCUCGUUCACUUGGGGAGUCAGCCAGGGAUCUGGGCAAAGUUUGACUCUGACUUGAGGUCUCAGCCCAUCUGUGCUUUCUUGCUUACAGACCUUCUCCAUGCACUUCCAGCUGCUCUGUGUCGUCUGCCCCCUGAAGCUGCAGAGCCGGUGGUUUUCUUAUCACUACAGGUGGGGUUUUAGGAGCUGCCUGUAGCCAGAAGCCGGCAGUCCUUCCCCAGUGCAGCUGCAUCCCUUCCGAAAUCACUUCGCAGUUUCUUCCUGCCCUUGUUCAAGUUCCAGUGCUUCCAAAUGGCGGCUUUGGAUAAUCGUGUUGGGAUGUCACUGUCGUUGCCUGUGAGUGGAAUCUCCUGCCCCAUCGUCCACAGCUUCCCCUGCUCAUUCCUUCCUGAACCUCCAAGAGUCCACUAGGAUAUAUUGUUUUUUCUGUCUUGUUUUUCAGUACUUCCUUGAGUAAGACCCUUUUGGGAAUCUUUUUCUCUCCAUUUUCAUUUUUCUGCCAGUAUCUUUAUUUUACCCUCCUGUUAAAAGUAUAUCUUUGCAGAUGUGAAGUUUUAACUCGGAAGAGGUUGAUUUUUUUCUACCCGGAACUUUCCAACUGCUCUGCUGCUGUCUGGCUCUCAGUGCCCAUCAGUCAUCUGGAAACAUCCUGUGCUCAGUGUUUGUUCCCUGAGUCUGCAAUCUGGGCUGAGCUUGACUGGGAGUUUCUUUGGUUGAUCCUGGGGAGCUCCCUGAUGGCCGUCUACUGGUGGGUGGGCCGGGAACCGGCUGGUUUUUGACAGCCCCGCUGGGAGGGCGGGGGUGGCUGGCCCCUUCCUGGGUUCCUUCCUCAUGCAGCCUCACCUCGGCUGGUUCACUGGGUGGCAGGGCCCGAGGGCCAUCCAGCGGGAGGACACGCUAAUGAGCCAGGACUGUAAAAAUGUCUGCCUGUAUCACAUUUGCUAUUGUUUGAUUGGACCGAGGAAGCCAUGCAAGCUCACAGGCGGUGUGGGACGACACAGGGAGGUGUGAGCCAAAGCGGCUGUCACAAGGACAAUCUGCCGCGGAACACCUGGCACCAGACACUCACAUCUCCAAACACUCCUCCAAUUAGGCCCUCACCUUCUGGUCUGUGGUCCCACCUUGUCUCCUCAUACGCCUGGCUCAUUGUCUGCAAGGGUCCAGGGUGGUGCCGCCAUGCCAUUCGGCUCCAUCACUCAUGCCAGUCUGCCCCACGGUACAUGCACCCAUGGAACCUCCCGGAUCCCACACACUGGGCAGGCAGGAGACCAUCUGAUCACAGAGGAGCUCAUCGUGCUGCACACACAGCUGACCCUCCUUCACCCAGAGCCCUGUCAGUGGGCUGCUGCCACCCCUCCAGGGAGCCUCAGCUCUGAGAUUUUGGGACACAGAACCCAGUUGUCCUAUGGCUCUUCAAAUGGAAUCUUCCUGAAAACCCAGCACCCCGCCCAUCGUGCACAAAGCCACAACGCCUAAGUCCUCGCCUGUUGAAAGUUUAUUCCAAUAAACACUGGAGCGUCCCCUUAACAAAUCAACUCCAGGCUCUGGCAAGACAAAGGCGCUGUGGUGCCUUCUCGAAAAGACUUUAUCUCCUGGUGAAGAAGAAGGACUUGAGGACAUAAGGCCUCUCUGAAGCUGGAUAGAGAGAGACGAGGAAGGAGAAGAGAAUCCUCAUGGCAUCAACAUUCAAGAGGCUGGAGCAAGAGCCAUUCCCUGAAAAGCCACAAAUGGAAUUUACACCAAGAAAUCGGGUUGAAUUUAGACCAUGUGAUAGGGAGGGUUGUAACGUCCAGGGAGCGUUUGAAGAGAGAGAUGAAAUAGGAGGGAAUUAAUCCGAGACGUUCGAGGGAAGAUGGCUGUACAGGAAGCUGAUAUUCACUGGGUCCGGUGUUGGGCCUGAGUCCUCCUCCUGCUCUGCUGGGGUUGCAGUUCCCGGCUCUCUUGCUCUCUGGGAGCUCCCCCUUGUUCUCGUUCUUAAAGCCUCCUUUGCAAUUUUUUUAAAAUUUAUUUUUAUUGUGUAUAUCUAAGUUGUACAAUAUGAUGUUUGUUUUGAUAUACAGAAACACAGAGAAAUGCUUACUACAUAGAAAUUAACAUACUCAUCACCUCCACAGUCACACUUCCUGCGCACCUCUGUGUGUGUGUGUGUGUCUGUGUCUGUGUCUGUGUGUGUGUGUGUGUGUGUGGCAGGAGGACCUAAAAUCGACUGUCUCAGCACAUUUUCAGUAUGCAGAAUAAUGUUAUUAACUUGGUUGUUCCUCCUGCUGUACAUCAGAUUUCUAGGCUUGGAAUGGACAGGACACAGGAUGACUCACACAGACCCAUCUAUACCACACACCUUCCUCAGAAGGUGGGCCCUUGGCCUGGGGCCCUCCAGGGUCUGUGUUCACUGUGACCCUCGCAGAGCUGGGCACUCUUCUCAUUUGCCACCUGGCCUUUGAUCUGGUUGGGGCCUGUCUCUCCAGAGGUAGGAGACAGGACUUCUCUUUGAAUUUCUCUCAUUUCAGGCAGGUUAGCCUUGGCUUUGUAGAGCCAGGAAAUGAUUGAACAGAGCCCAGGAGGUGACAUGAAUGGUCCUCUCAUUUCUGCCAGAUCACCUUGGGCCGUCUUCAGGCAUCUCUGAGAGAUGCCCACACACUCCGAGUUGCUCCUUUCAUAUGUGGGUCUCAACCCACCCAUGGUGUGUCCCGCCUGUGUCCUGGAGGGAAGGGAGGCAGUGUCCACAGGGCCUGGGCCCUGGAGCAGCCAAGGGAACCCACACCUGAGAUUCUCCUGGGAGCUGGACCCUGGGCCCUGGUGAUGCUGCUGCAGUGGCCUGUGGACAGAGAUGCUGGUGGCCACACAGAAAUCCACAAAGAGUGAGAAUGCAGGUGUAGACAGGAUUUCCAAAAAGCUCAACAGACAGGAAAGCAAACAAGAGCUCAAAAUUCUACCUCCAACAUAUCCUUAGCAGGCGAUUCCAGGCUACGGUCUGCCACAACUGGAUUAGGAUAAGUAAUGCUGUGGCAGGUGGUGACCCCCGAAUCCUAGA